GAGAGAUCCAGGAAAAGAAAUAAGAAAAGAGACGAAAAAAAUCUUUGCAACCUUACCUGCUACUGCGUUCCGUUUUUCUCUUGGAAUUUGGUAAUCGAAACAACCCUAACUCAAAUUUCUAAAGAGGAUAGAAGUGCUCAGUAUAUUUUGCUGGAUUCGUCCCAAUUGUCAGCCGUACUUCUUGUGUUAUUGUCUUCUGUCACCAAAUUCAGGGGUUGGCCUAGUCUGGUUAGUGAAUUGGUACAUGGAUCAAAAACAUAGACAGGAGUCCCAGCAAAGGCCUUAGACCAAUAGAGUUGGUUGUAGAAAUCCGUCAGGUUGGGAAGUAGGCGAAUUGAAGCUGACAAUUUUACAAAACUUUUGAUACCCAAAAAGCAAAUCCAACCAUGGCUAGUAAACAAACUGAGCCGACUUUGUCAACAUCAUCUGUAGCUGCUUGUCGUAGUAAAGAUAAUCGGCUAUUAGCUGGUUAUUUGGCUCAUGAGUUUCUAACUGAAGGAACUUUGUUCGGGCAGAAGUGGGACCCUGCAAGAGCUGAAGCCAAUCCCAUAACUCCACGCAACUACCCAAAUGUUAGGAGACCAGCAGGGGGAGGAGCCGUAGCUGAAGUGAAAGGAGGAGGCGGGACAAUAAUGGCACGGCCACAACAGCAGCAUAGUAGUUAUGCUCACGUUGCAAAUCUGUUGAAAUGUGAAGGGUUGCACAUAGAAGGGAUUGUGAACCCAACCCAACUCGCAAGGUGGUUACAUAUGUGAAUCUAUAGCUAACUGUUUGAAGAGAUGGAAGAAGGAAGAAGAAGAGUUGAGUUCCAUCAAUCUCUGUUGCAAAAUUCAUCUCUGUUUUGCUGGAGUCAGCCUGUUUGAAGGAGUUGGUGAUGGAAUCAAAUUGCAGAAACAAGUGAAGAAAGUAUGUCCAAGAUGACAGAGAGUAAAUCAAAUAUUCAUAGAUUUUGAUAUUUUGGUCACUGCUUACAUUGUUUGUUGUAGCAUAUGUUUUUUUUCGGUCUCUGUAGUGAUGUGUUACUAGUUACUCGUAGUAGUUACUGCUGCUAUUGAAUCUUGAUAUAUAUUGGGAUUACUGACACUCUUAAUUGAUAAAUUAGCUUCAUCAUUUUGAUUUGCUAAA